rnacentral:rRNA from 1 species
AUGUUACCAGCCGAGGCGCCAUACCUUCCUGCAGGGCGCUACCCCCGUGAUCCGGCCGACUUAACAUACCCCUCCGACCUAUUUGGUCCCGCGCCCCAGCGUCUCCACGAUCCUAGCGAGCAGCAUCAGGAGGUGGUGGUGGAGGGGGAGGUGGUGGCGGCAGCGGAGGAGAAGCAAGGGAUCGGCUCCAUCUUUUCCUCUAUCGACAAACAUGAUGAUCCGGCGCUCAAGGCCGAGGCUUCAGAGCCACCUAUUCUUCACUGGGACGACGUCUGCCUAUCCGACAGCGACGAUGAUUUAGUUGACCAGCUCAACUUGGCCGACUUGGCCGGCUUGGCCCUGGCGCACUCUGACGACGAUGAGGAGGAAGGGGUGACAGACGGCGAGGAGACAAAUUGCCCAGGGAAGAAAUUUCCCAGGGAGAAAGCCAAACUGAUACAGACGGUGUGGGUAAGGAGUGACAUCAAACAGAACGAAGAACACAGAGAGCUGUGCAAGAUGCUUCUAGAUCUAGGACAUGAGUGGUCUGCCCUUCCUCCUUUUCCUAUGAAAGUAUUCCCUCACGUAAUAGGCGCAUGCGUUUUGCGGGGAUACUGUCACCACCGUAUAUACAGAACCCAUCAUACUUCCACCACAAAAUCAACUCUUGGAUAUCGCGAACCAAAUCGGAUGCUACAGGUAUUCUCGCUGCGUUUGUCAAGCUCUGCAUCAUAUCCUGUUAGUGUCUAUGGAAUAAUCGCCGUUCGGGAUUCCUUGGAGCCUCUGCGGAAUUACGUGUUUAAUCGUCCCUGCAGAGAUGAUGCUGUCACCAUUGACCAGGAUUCCUUUAUCCUACCCCUUUGUAGCCCUUGUCGAGGAAUGUACUUACGGCAGGAUGCAUUACUAGAAGUUGAUCUGUGGGUAAAGGAGGAAGGGGAUGGAUCGGCUGACAAACAAAUACUUUCUGCGUAUGCUGAGAUUGAGAGCUGCCCAGCUUAUGAUGAAAUGCUAUAUGGACAGAUUCGUCAUGGCCUGUUCAGCUUGGACAUAGGCUACAUAUCAUUUACAAGAAGUAUCGAGGCCGUAAUAGAAGUCUUUGCAAAGGUUGAUGGUCCUCAUCAUGUGAGAUUUGGUGCUUUCAGCAGUGGCUUUGAUCAUGAGAUUGUGUUGUUUGAUGACACAUUCUCUGGGACUAAGAUGCAGUUUCAGCAUGUAGUCGUGGUGAAAGCAGAGGAAAAAUUGGAUGUUUGCUUAAAGUUGGGGGAAUCACUCUUUCGGUGGAGUUUCCAAGAUGGACAUGUUGGACCUGUUAGGAUUCCUGAUGACUCGAUGUCAAAGUAUGGCCAGUUUGAUGUGAGGGUGUUCUUUGCUCCUAAGAACUCGCGACCACCGAAAUAA